ensembl:lncRNA
CCCCGUCACUCCACACUCUGUCACUCCACACUCCGUCACUCUGUCACUCCACACUCUGUCACUCCACACUCUGUCACUCUGUCACUCCACACUCUGUCACUCUGUCACUCUGUCACUCCACACUCUGUCACUCUGUCACUCUGUCACUCCACACUCUGUCACUCUGUCACUCCGUCACUCCACACUCUGUCACUCUGUCACUCCACACUCUGUCACUCUGUCACUCCGUCACUCCACACUCUGUCACUCCACACUCCGUCACUCUGUCACUCCACACUCUGUCACUCCACACUCUGUCACUCCACACUCUGUCACUCUGUCACUCCACACUCUGUCACUCUGUCACUCUGUCACUCCACACUCUGUCACUCCACACUCCGUCACUCUGUCACUCCACACUCUGUCACUCCGUCACUCCACACUCUGUCACUCUGUCACUCCACACUCUGUCACUCCACACUCUGUCACUCUGUCACUCCACACUCUGUCACUCUGUCACUCCGUCACUCCACACUCUGUCACUCUGUCACUCCACACUCUGUCACUCUGUCACUCCGUCACUCCACACUCUGUCACUCCACACUCCGUCACUCCGUCACUCUGUCACUCCACACUCUGUCACUCCACACUCUGUCACUCCACACUCUGUCACUCUGUCACUCCACACUCUGUCACUCUGUCACUCCACACUCUGUCACUCUGUCACUCCACACUCUGUCACUCUGUCACUCCACACUCUGUCACUCUGUCACUCCGUCACUCUGUCACUCCACACUCUGUCACUCUGUCACUCCACACUCUGUCACUCUGCACACUCUGUCACUCUGUCACUCUGUCACUCUGUCACUCCACACUCUGUCACUCUGUCACUCCGUCCUGCCUGUUCUAUCUGUCGGUUUGACUCAUUUGUUUUCCGUCUUUGUUUUUAGCUGUUAUAACUUUUAAAUGCUGGAAGGCGACCUGGGGUGUCCUGCAAGGCGCCUCUAAAUAAAAUGUAUUAUUAUUAUAAUAAAAUAGAAUAAUAAAGAAUGAAUUAAAUUAAUCUAACAUCAUUUCUAAAACUUGACAUCAGGAAUGAAUCGGACGUGAUUAUUAACGAUGGCGGUGUGUAAACGUUCUCAGGAUACUGAUACGUGAACUCACCUGAGGAGAACUGCUCACGUGAAGAAGAUCCACACGCUUACAAACUGUGUGUGUGUGUGUGUGUGUGUGUGUGUGUGUGUGUGUGUGUGUGUGUGUCACAGUUGCAGGAGCAGCUCCCUCAGAAGGUUCUCCCUCUGGUGUCCUCGGGGAUGAAGCCUCAGGCGUACCUGAGUCAGAACACGCUGGUGGAGAUGACGCUGGGGUCUGUUUACAAUCUGUCACAACAAUAACUACUAACAGCUGACACGCACACACUUUCAUGUUAAAUAUACUUCUGCUGCGGUAACGCCGAGCGUCCACACUCGUCCGGCGGUUCAAACCCCGAACACGAGACGCUGUUGAUGACGCAGUGUCACUUUUAUUUAGAUAAUAAGAAUAACAUGAAAAUGCUCCUCGUGUUGUUUCCAGGAUGAAGAAGCUGAAGGAGGAGAUGGAGGGCGUCGUCAAAGAGCUGGCAGAGAACAACCACUUCUUAGAGCGGUCAUUAUCUAUUAUAUUUACUAUACUUAUUAUAUUUACUAUACUUAUUAUAUUUAUUAUACUUAUUAUACUUAUUAUAUUUAUUAUACUUAUUAUAUUUAUUAUACUUAUACUUAUUAUACUUAUUAUACUUAUACUUAUUAUAUUUAUUAUACUUAUUAUAUUUAUUAUACUUAUUAUAUUUAUUAUACUUAUUAUACUUAUUAUAUUUAUUAUAUUUAUUAUACUUAUACUUAUAUUUAUUAUACUUAUUAUAUUUAUUAUACUUAUUAUAUUUAUUAUACUUAUUAUACUUAUUAUAUUUAUUAUACUUAUUAUAUUUAUUAUACUUAUUAUACUUAUAAUAAAUAUUAUAUUUAUUAUAUCACUGCAUGCCUAGCUUAGCACAAACACUGGAGGCCGGGGGAAACUGCUAGCCUGCCUCAUUCAGGGUCAUAUUUCACAGGAAGUGCAUGUUUGAUCUUGUGUUUAGAAUGAAGGGCAUGCUAACAGCGUCCAGUGUUCGUGCUAAGCUACGCUCAAGUCGUCGCUGUUGAUAAAUAUGAAUGCGUGUGUUCCUCCUUCAGAUUCGGGACUCUGACGCUGGACGGAGGUCUGAGAGGUUGAAGCUUCGAUUCCUCGUGUUUCUUCAGAAGCUUCUUGUAAAUAUUCUGAGUGUUUAUCUUGUAAAUAACGUCGUCAGAAGAAGCUUUUUGUAUCUCCUGUGUUCAUGAACACACGGCUACCCUCCUUCAGACGCUGCUUUAGAAACCGCUUUGAGCGCUGUAAGUAUAUUUGUACCUGAAGAAAACCCUUAAAAUACUUUCACUUGAUCGUUAACUUACUUAAAGCUGCAGUUUGGUAGAAAAGAGCCUUAAAGAUCUUAAUGAACUACUUUAGAUUGCAUAUUAAUGACAUUAAUCAUCAGGUUAUUCAUUAAGGUGUGAUUAAAGUUGCCUGAAUUAAAUGUAAUAAAUUAAUUAACAGCACAUUUGGGAAAUCGUCAAUUUAAAAAUGAGGUAACUGUAAAGUUGUUUCCUUUAUAAAACUUUAAUACAUUAAAGUUUAUUAAUGUCAGACCUCUGAUGAAUAUCUGGAAACUCAAUAAUACUUAAGAUGGAUGAGAUUUCACGGGUGAAUUAAGAGUUUUUAAGGGAUUAUUGUGUUGGAUGUAAUAAUUGUCUAUUUAAUGGGUUUUCUGUGUUUAUGACAAUUUAAAAUACACAAAGUAACUAACAAACUAAUAACUUUCAUGUUAUUCGUCUAAUAUAAUCCACUUUCAAACAUCUCUCCGUCUUUACGUUUCUUCAUUACUUCACUAUUAAAGUGAAAUGUUUAGUAUAAGAAUGCUGAUUACAUUUGUUUCUUAUUUAUUGUUCUAAAAGGCCAAUAGUCCACGAGUUCUCAUGUAUCCAUAACUCUGGUCAGUAUGUUGAAAUCUUUAGAAGGAUUAAUGUUUUGUCAAUAAUCAUUUAAAAUGCUCAAUGAUUGUUUGAACUUGUAAAUAAAUAAAUAUCUUAAGAAAUCGUCUGAUUGUGUUUAAUCUGGAAAUCACUGAAGAAUUCAGGAUAUUAGGAUUAUUAAAU